UUGGGAAGUCCUCGUGUUGCACCCUC
rnacentral:rRNA from 3 species